AUUGAACGCUGGCGGCAGGCCUAACACAUGCAAGUCGAGCGGAUGAAGGGAGCUUGCUCCUGGAUUCAGCGGCGGACGGGUGAGUAAUGCCUAGGAAUCUGCCUGGUAGUGGGGGAUAACGUCCGGAAACGGGCGCUAAUACCGCAUACGUCCUGAGGGAGAAAGUGGGGGAUCUUCGGACCUCACGCUAUCAGAUGAGCCUAGGUCGGAUUAGCUAGUUGGUGGGGUAAAGGCCUACCAAGGCGACGAUCCGUAACUGGUCUGAGAGGAUGAUCAGUCACCCUGGACCUGAGACACGGUCCAGCCUCCUACGGGAGGCAGCAGUGGGGAAUAUUGGACAAUGGGCGAAAGCCUGAUCCAGCCAUGCCGCGUGUGUGAAGAAGGUCUUCGGAUUGUAAAGCACUUUAAGUUGGGAGGAAGGGCAGUAAGUUAAUACCUUGCUGUUUUGACGUUACCAACAGAAUAAGCACCGGCUAACUUCGU
rnacentral:rRNA from 1 species